GGUAGUCCACGCCGUAAACGAUGUCGACUUGGAGUUGUGCCCUUGAGGCGUGGCUUCCGGAGCUAACGCGUUAAGUCGACCGCUGGGGGAGUACCGGCCGCAAGGUUAAAACUCAAAAUGAAUUGACGGGGGCCCGCACAAGCGGUGGAGCAUGUGGUUUAAUUCGAUGCAACGCGAAGAACCUUACCUACUCUUGACAUCCAGAGAACUUAGCAGAGAUGCUUUGGUGCCUUCGGGAACUCUGAGACAGGUGCUGCAUGGCUGUCGUCAGCUCGUGUUGUGAAAUGUUGGGUUAAGUCCCGCAACGAGCGCAACCCUUAUCCUUUGUUGCCAGCGGUUCGGCCGGGAACUCAAAGGAGACUGCCAGUGAUAAACUGGAGGAAGGUGGGGAUGACGUCAAGUCAUCAUGGCCCUUACGAGUAGGGCUACACACGUGCUACAAUGGCAUAUACAAAGAGAAGCGACCUCGCGAGAGCAAGCGGACCUCAUAAAGUAUGUCGUAGUCCGGAUUGGAGUCUGCAACUAUACUCCACGAAGUCGGUGUCUAUAGUCCUCGCACUCUUUUUAUAUAUAGCGCACGGGGUGUGUAUAUAUGUCACGUGGGGUGUAUAUAGAUCUCACGGCGUGUGUAUAUAGACACGCGGUCCGUGUAGACUCCACACGAUGUCGUAUGUAGAUAAUCC
rnacentral:rRNA from 1 species